rnacentral:lncRNA from 1 species
UCUUUCGGUUAAAUCUUUCCAAACUUAUGUUUUACUUUUGGUUUAAUUUGAUAAAAAUGUGUAACUAAAUUUAUUUUGGCUAGAGGUUAAUUCAAAGCCAUGAAUAUAUUUGUAAUAUGAAUUGAUUACCUUCAGUUGUGAUUUCUGAGUUGUGAUUUAAUUUGCUUAACUGCUUGAUUGAUAACUUAUUUUUGUAUGUCGAUUAAGGAUGCAUACUUAAUUUACAUGCAUGAAUUUGAUGCUAGAAUAUAAGUAAAUUUCACCUAAUCGUUAUGAACUUAUAUUCACAAGUAGUGAAGGUUGCUAGUCACAAUCACGUUAAGUAAAUUCUUGGCAUAAGUUUCAUGCAAAUCAUAGUAACGAGUGCCUCGUCAAUGCUUAUGUUUUUCAUAGAACUUAAUGAUUCUUGCUUGUAUCUCUAUUAUGCAACUCAUGUAGGGAACUUGUAGGGAAUGUUUUGGGUUGUCGUAUGCAAUCAUCCAACCCAAUAACUUGUGGAAAAACUGAGGGUUAAUUAGUGCAAUUCACGGUUAAUUUGGGGCGUUGAGAUUCACAACUUAUUGAAAGAACAACUGAAAAUCAAUUUAGGUUGCAUAUGUGUCAUGUGUAGAGAAGAACCCUCUAGCUAAUCCAUCACCUAUCCUUGCACCUUAAUUUCAUGUUUUUGUCAAUUCUGUAAUUUAUUUAAGUUUAAUUUACUUCUCGUCAAAACCAAACCCCCCAUUAUUAAAUUAUUUUAUUUAGUUAGUUUUCUUUGUUGUUAGUCUUUUAAUUCAAUUUCCGUCCAUUGCAGUUCCUAGUGUCUAAUUUGAUUGUUUUCAUUAUUUUGAAUUAUCCUAAGUGUGUUUCGAGUUAUUAGAGUUUUUAGCCUAGUUUUGUGUCCUUGAGUCUUAUUUAAUAUUUUUAAAUUAAUUUAGAAUAGAUUAGCAAUCCCUCCUAAUCCCCGGCCUAGAACGAUACCCUACUUACAUCCAUACUACAAUUGUCAAAAAGAGGGUUUAAUUUGUGUGUUAACUUAUUUUUCACAUCAAAUUUUGGCGCCGUUGCCGGGGAUUAGCAAACUUUGCUAAUCCCUUGGUUCUUUUCUUUUUGUUUAGUUUGUUUUUGUUUUAGUUUCUGACUUAGUUUUGUUUUCCUUGUUUUGUGUUACUUUUGAUAUUUGAUUUAUUUUUCUUUCUUUGAUUUUAGGUACAAAUGGAGCGAGACAUGGCACUUGCGACCAUUCAAGCUCAAUUGGCACAGCUCACUGCUCAAUUGACUCAUAAUGCCGAACGGACCACAAUGCCAAGUGUCCCUACACUUGAUGUGCCCUAUGGGCAAGGUUAUCAAAGUCCUAAAUUUUAUGUCAAUGAAGAUGUUUGGGGAUAUCAAGGCCAUAACCAAUCAAGGGGCAACAUGUUUUCCAACGCUUACAAUUCGUAUUGGAGAAGUAAUUCAGAUUAUAUGUGGGAUGAACAUCAACAAUUUCAACAAGGUGGAUAUUGGCAGCAAGACGAGUUCUAUUCAAGACCUAUGCAGCCACCACAGCAUUCCCCACAACAAUUCCAAUCAAAUCAAAGUAUGCCCAUGAAUUAUAAUGAAAUUCUUGAAGGACUAAUUUCUGUGGCGCAGGGUUUACGAAAAGAAGAACAAUUGCCGCCAUCGGAAGAGUUCUAUCAGUGGCCAUAUGAACCGUCACAGCCACCACAACAAUCAACCCAAUUCAAUUCAGGUACGUCCUUGGAUAAUGAUACACUUAAUAAGUUACUCACCUCUUUGAAUCAGGGAGUAGAAAAUCGAAACCAGGAGAUGCAAGACCGAGUCAAAAGAGUGGACGAAUUGGAGAUGCAAGUUGGGCAGAUUGUGGAAUUCAUGGCACAGAUUCGAGAUCAAAGUGAACUUUCCAACUCAAACAUUGCAAAUUCAAAGGCAGAAAGUGAAAUCGAUGAAGCCAUCACUUUGGAAGGUGACAUGAAGGAUGAAGCUGUCCCAGAACCAUCCAAACACAACCCGAACAUGGAUGAAUUGCUGCUGCAAGCAGAAGAGGAGGAGGACGACCUGGGCAGUUUAGAAGAAUUUUUGCUGCAAGCUCCUCAAAUCCCUAUGUCAUCCAACUCAGGUGAGGAAGUUCUAAAUUCACUUCAUUCUAACAUUAUUCCACCGAAUGUCCUUUGUCCUUGCAGGUUUUUGAUUCCAAAUAUCAAAGAGAGUGAAAAAGACAUUGUGGAAGCUCUUCCAAAGGUGCAAAGUGAUAUCCCAAUUCUUGGUGCACCAAAACAAGUUCCCGAUAUUAUUGAAAUGUUCAAAGAACCUUGCACACCAAGAAAAGGGAUUCAAGAGAAUGAAGUGGUUGAAGCAUAUCAAGAAUACAUCCAAGAGGCUGUGCAUGAGACAAUCAAGCCCAAAGCAGUUGAGUUUGAUGACACGGGACAAGCCACAACCAUCAUAGUAAACCUGGCCAAGUUCAAAGUCCCGGAAAUGUUCAAAAAUGUGGUUUGUCAUUGAGUUUGUGUCGGAAAAAGAAAGUAAGCCAUCUUCUCCAAUUUUAAUUUUUAUUUAUACUAACAUUUUUCUGAUUUUGAUGAUUCAGGCACCCACUCUUGAAUUUAAACCAUUGCCGAAUCAUUUCAAGUAUCACCUCCCAUUAAAAGAUAAAUUUCAUGCUUUGGAGCCGAGGGGAGGUUAAAGGAAAGAUUCGUCCGGCUAAAGACGUUAAAUCAAGCGCUUCUUGGGAGGCAACCCAAGCAUUCAACGAAGGGAGACUUUGGAAUCGCUAACCAAAUCAGAUUUGAAUUCUUACACCCUUAUCUUUACUGCUUUCAUUUUGUUUGUUCAGUUAGUUGUGUUAUUUGGUUGAUUUAUGUGAGUUUGUGUUAUUUAGUUUAAGUGUAGGGGAAGGUUAACCAAAGUCUUUUUACAUUAAUUUACAUAUUUAAAAAUAAUAAUAAUAAUAAUAAUAAUAAUACAUAAAAAAAUAAAAAAAAAACAUAAAAGUAAAAAUAUUUUACAAUGAUGUGUUAACUAAUAAACAUUCAUUGGUCAGGUGGUGCUUCAGUAGUCGGCGGAGCUUCAGCAGUCGGCGGGGCCACGGAAGGAGGAGGUAUCGGAGGUUGAUCAGUUGAAGCUUCACUACGCGGUGCCGCCCCAGAAGACGAAGGAAGAUGCGGUUGGAACAAACCCACAAACCUCCGAUGAUCAAGUAAAAUUUGACCAUCAGUGUCUUGCAGCUGGUCAAUUUUCCUCUUCAUGUUUGUGGCAUAGUUGUGUGCAAGCUUGUGCAAUUGUUUAUUUUCAUGCUUGAGUCCUCUAAUCUCCUCUUUGAGACUCUGUAUUUCAGCCACCAACGAUUCAACGUGACGGGUUCGAGCAAAUAGGCGUUGGGCCAUGUUGGACACAGACCCCGCACACUGCACGCUAAGAGCCAGAGACUCCUUAACCGCCAAUUCAUCACCGUCUAGCGAGCAGUCUGUUAUCUCUGGGGGUGACAAGGUUCCGGGCCACCACCGCAGCGGUCAUGUCAUUUUUCAUCACCGAAUCCCCAACGGUAAGAGGACCGGUAGGGGAUAUGAAGGAUGGCCGCCAUAUGUUGUCUGGUGAAGGCGGAGCUGCCUCUUCACCAAUGUUCAAGUCAAAACGACGAUCGGAAGGGCCAGCCAUUUUCUGAAGGUGUUGAGAAAGAAGAGAUCGGACAGAUUAAGAUUUUGGAAAUUGUAAGAAGGGAGUGUUUACAGGAGGGAGCUCAAGUGUGUUGUGGAACAAAAUUAACGCCUCUAUAAAAAGAAGAAAUCAAAGAGGCGCUCCUCAGAGAAGCGUCCUCUCGCAAAUCGAAGAGUCGGGGCUCCGUUCUCAAACGCCUGAUUUUUUUUCUCAAAAGAGGAGUUUCCUUUCUCAAAAGCCGGAUUCUUUUCUCAAAAGAGGCGUUUCAUUUCUUAAAGGCUGGGCUUGCUCAGAAACCACGAGCCGAACCCCGGAUUUCAAAAGAUCAAUUUGUCCAGACGUGUCGUCACUUGUCACACGCAAAUUGCUUUGCGAAAAUCUCGGGCAGUUUGUCGAAGCACCAAUUCAGAAAUCGAAGAGGGAAAUUCAACAGUCAAAGACACGCUAGCUUUCUCAAAAGCUGGGCUUCAACCCACGGGCAAAUCUUCUUUUCCAGAUUUAUCCGCACGUGUCACAUGCUACCUCUACAAUCGACGAUGCUCAGAGCUCGAAGCGCCGAUUCCAGAUAUCAAUGAGGAAUCAGCUUUGCGGAAAUUACGGGCAGCUUUGUCAGAAAGCGCGUAAUUUGUACUAUUCAUCCAUCCACCGGCUGCCGACAAUGAGUGAGAGAAUAGUUCCGGUUGUGAAGAAAAGUCCUAUAAGUAUUUACCUUCGCCUUCCACAGCAAAGGCACACCCUCUCAGCACUUCUUCAUCUCCGAGAAUGCAUUCCCAAAGAACCCUCUCGAGUCACACUGUAUUCCUCAUUCCCUGGGAUACCCCUGCAAACAACCCAUCCAGAGCAAAAGUAUUUCAUAUCAUAAAGGUUGAAAGCAAGAGUAUCUCAUAUCAUGCAUUCUCCAUGUCCUUUUCCUUGUCUUUGUUCUAACCUGCAGGACAUGGAGAAAUUGUUCUCGAGUACUCGUCUUCCACUGCUGAUGUACUUCCAAAGAAGCUGCCACAUCUACCUGAAGAACAGAUAAGGCAAGCAAAAAUGAUACCAGCAGCAUGUGGAGACAACGUACAGAAGAAACAAGCAGAGAAGAAUGCAGCUUGCACAAUCAUCCCAGCGGAAGGAGUCCGAGCUGAGGAACUAGAGAAGCUGCCACAUCUGCUUGGAGAACAAAUAGGGAACUGCAACAUCACCAAAGAGCAAAGCUUCGCCGUACAAUAUCAUCAAAUCAUCACUUGCAAGUAAAAAGCUAAGUGUCACCCCGUUCAAGAGGAAAGCUGUGGAAAGUCAACAAGCACGACCAAUGACCACUUAUUAGUUCUAUUCAUUGUCUUUUAUCGUGAUUUUCAAUUUUUUGUUUGCAAUUUUUUUUAUAUUUUCUUGUGUCACUUAACUGAAUUAUUUCUUUUCUUUGCAGGAACUUUUGGUUAUUUCCACCCUUGAAGUUGAUUGCAGAAUUUUAGCUUGGGGGUCAUCGCUUGAUUUUACUGCAAAUUAGGGAAGUUUUCAGUCCACUUGUUUUAUUUUGUUUCUUAUUAUUUAUUUUAUUUUAUUUGCAUUAUAGUGUUUUCUGACAUUGGGGACAAUGUCCAGUUUAAGUUUGGGGGUAAAGAGUAUAAAAAAUGACCAAAUUGAAAUUUUUUGUACCUUCAACUACGAACGAGUUUCAUUUGUUUCCAUGUUGUUGCUUUUUGUUUUCAUAAAAAAAAAUAUAUAUUUAAAAAAAAAAAAUUUAAAAAUCGGAAAAUUUAAAAAAAUCCAAAAAUAUUGUCUUGUUUCCCUUAUUGUUUUGAAUUAGAUUUUUGUUAGUUUCCCGACCCAAUGAUAUAAUUAGAUCAAAUUUGAAUCAUGAUUAUCAAGAACUUAGUUAACAUGUGUUUUGUGAAAUUCCUAAUUCUCUUGUUAGUUUUGUACAUGUUUGAUCAUCUUUGAAAAACCAAAUGCACAUAGCCUUGUUAAUGUGAAACUAAAGUAUGACUUAAAGCUUCAUAUGUGAAUUUAGUGACCAUAUACAUCCUAUGUGAGUUUUUGAGCCUAUUGAAAGUGUGUGCAUUUUUCAUACACUCUUAUUCUUUCAUGUGUGAUGAACUUAUGUGAAAUACAUCUCUAGAACUUGCGUAACGAUCUUUCGAAAUGUUUGUCAUUGAUUGCAUGAACUUGGAAAUGAUAGAGGCAUUAGGUUUACCACCAUGGCCCAAAUAACCAUGUUUCCCAAAUAAAAAUAAUAUCAUUAGAUUGCCAAUUUGAGCCGUGUAUGUUGAGCCUUUUAUUUCUUACCACCAGAUAUGUCUACCUUUAUACCUGAAAUUUUUUUUCCUUACCCUUUCCAAGCAAGCUAGUGAGCAAUGUGAGAUUGUCUUAUGAGAAAUGUUUGUGAAGUACUUUGAAGGUGUUUGGCAAAAGAAUAAGUGUGGGGUAUUUCAUGUUUGUAUUAAAAAAAAAAUAUAUAUAUAUAUAAAAAAAAAAAAAAAAAAAAAAGAAGAACAAAAGAAAAGAAAAAGAAGGAUUGUAUACAAAUGAAAUAAAAACUUUUUAAAGUUUCAGUUUAGGGGUGUGGUUGGAGGUGCUAGAAGAAUUGCUGGAGAGCUUGAGUUCUUAUAAAUCUAAAGAAAAGAAUUGCUUGCAAUGUAGCUUGGAACUUGUGUUUUCCUAUUCUAUCGUUUCAAUAGCCCUAUCCCUAAACCUCAUUACAUCCAAUAAAAGUCCUUUUGAUUUAAGUUUUGCAAUUAUGAUUAUGGAGAUGAGAUCUUUAUGCAAGCUUAUGGUAGAAAUUUCACAUUUGAUUCUUUCUUUGAGCGAAACACAUUAAAACUAAACACAUAUGUGAUUGAGUGUAUAUCCCGUGAGAAGGUUACUAGUUUGCAUAUGAUGAUUUUAAAAAUAAAAACUUGAAAUUGCAUUAGCAUGACUAUCUCACACACUACACUUCAAGGAUGAUUCAAAGAUUACUGCUAAUAUUUGAAUAAGGAAGAUGAACUUGGAUUAACUUGUUUGGUGCUAGAUAUGGUUCUUGAUGAUUUGUGUUCUCAAAUGAAAUUCUAUGAGGGUCACAUAGGGGGAAACUAAUGUUUUUCAUGUUAGUACUUUUUCAUGUUUUCUUUGUUUUGCUCGAGGACUAGCAAAAGCUAAGUAUGGGGGUAUUUGAUCGGAUCAUAUUUAUAUAUAUUUUUACUUCAAAUUCACUCGUCUUUUCUUAGUUAGUUCCUUAUAUUUUUUAGCUAUUUACGUUAUUUUUGUGUUUAUAGGAUUUGUUAUGCAAAGAAAAUAAAAAUAGAACAAGUGAAAUUUUAUGUAAUAAAUUCGUCAAAACUGUAUGUGUAGAUCAGCUUUUAAAUUAAAUUAAAAAAAAAUAUAAUAAUGAUAAGUCAUGAUGAUGUUUGAAAACAUCAUGAUGGUUUUGUUUUGUAGAAGAAAAGAAAGGAACGGAUGAAGAAGAAGAAAAGAAAGGAAUAAAAAAAGGAAAUGAAUAAAAAAUAGAUGAAAGAAGUAAAAAGCUGCCUUUGCAGCAUAAGGAAAGAAGGUCACGGAUAGAGACUCACGUGAGGGCAGACUGGCAGAGAGAGUGCAGAAACAGAAGCACACAGCACAGGCGCAGGAAAUUGAGGGCCUGGCAGUGUGAGAACAGGCGCUGCCAUGGGCAGCGGCAUAAAAUAAAAAGGCAGGAAGCUGCCUUAGCAGCUGGAAAAAAAAUAUAAAAAAAAAAAGCUGUCUUGGGCAGCUGGAGACAGCGUGAGAACGGAGAGAACGCUGCCUUUGGCAGCGUGAGAGCAGCGUAAGACACGGGGAAUUGGAAGGAGGGCAAGUCAGGGACUUGCUAGGCGCAGAAAUAGCACAGAAACCUUCACUCAAUCUUUCGGUUAAAUCUUUCCAAACUUAUGUUUUACUUUUGGUUUAAUUUGAUAAAAAUGUGUAACUAAAUUUAUUUUGGCUAGAGGUUAAUUCAAAGCCAUGAAUAUAUUUGUAAUAUGAAUUGAUUACCUUCAGUUGUGAUUUCUGAGUUGUGAUUUAAUUUGCUUAACUACUUGAUUGAUAACUUAUUUUUGUAUGUCGAUUAAGGAUGCAUACUUAAUU